rnacentral:rRNA from 1 species
UACGUAGGGUGCAAGCGUUGUCCGGAAUCACUGGGCGUAAAGCGCACGUAGGCGGGACGGUGCGUCGGUGCUGAAAGCGCCAGGCUUAACCUGGCGAGGCGUGCCGAUACGACCGACCUCGAGGCAGACAGAGGGUGGCGGAAUUCCGGGUGUAGUGGUGAAAUGCGUAGAGAUCCGGAGGAGCGCCGGUGGCGCAAGCGGCCACCUGGGUCUGACCUGACGCUGAGGUGCGAAAGCUAGGGGAGCAAACGGG